rnacentral:rRNA from 1 species
UGGGGAAUAUUGGACAAUGGGCGCAAGCCUGAUCCAGCAAUGCCGCGUGGAUGAAGAAGGUUUUCGGAUUGUAAAGUCCUUUCGACGGGGACGAUGAUGACGGUACCCGUAGAAGAAGCCCCGGCUAACUUCGUGCCAGCAGCCGCGGUAAUACGAAGGGGGCUAGCGUUGCUCGGAAUGACUGGGCGUAAAGGGCGCGUAGGCGGAAUGCUUUGUCGGGCGUGAAAUUCCAGGGCUUAACCUUGGGACUGCGUUCGAGACGGGUAUUCUAGAGUGGAGAAGAGGGUCGUGGAAUUCCCAGUGUAGAGGUGAAAUUCGUAGAUAUUGGGAAGAACACCGGUGGCGAAGGCGGCGACCUGGUCUUUUACUGACGCUGAGGCGCGAAAGCGUGGGGAGCAAACAGGAUUAGAUACCCUGGUAGUCCACGCUGUAAACGAUGUGCGCUGGAUGUUGGGACACCUAGUGUUUCAGUGUCGUAGCUAACGCGGUAAGCGCACCGCCUGGGGAGUACGGCCGCAAGGUUG